AAAUUGAAGAGUUUGAUCAUGGCUCAGAUUGAACGCUGGCGGCAGGCCUAACACAUGCAAGUCGAACGGUAACAGGAAUCAGCUUGCUGAUUCGCUGACGAGUGGCGGACGGGUGAGUAAUGUCUGGGAAACUGCCUGAUGGAGGGGGAUAACUACUGGAAACGGUAGCUAAUACCGCAUAACGUCGCAAGACCAAAGAGGGGGACCUUCGGGCCUCUUGCCAUCGGAUGUGCCCAGAUGGGAUUAGCUAGUAGGUGGGGUAAAGGCUCACCUAGGCGACGAUCCCUAGCUGGUCUGAGAGGAUGACCAGCCACACUGGAACUGAGACACGGUCCAGACUCCUACGGGAGGCAGCAGUGGGGAAUAUUGCACAAUGGGCGCAAGCCUGAUGCAGCCAUGCCGCGUGUAUGAAGAAGGCCUUCGGGUUGUAAAGUACUUUCAGCGGGGAGGAAGGGAGUAAAGUUAAUACCUUUGCUCAUUGACGUUACCCGCAGAAGAAGCACCGGCUAACUCCGUGCCAGCAGCCGCGGUAAUACGGAGGGUGCAAGCGUUAAUCGGAAUUACUGGGCGUAAAGCGCACGCAGGCGGUUUGUUAAGUCAGAUGUGAAAUCCCCGGGCUCAACCUGGGAACUGCAUCUGAUACUGGCAAGCUUGAGUCUCGUAGAGGGGGGUAGAAUUCCAGGUGUAGCGGUGAAAUGCGUAGAGAUCUGGAGGAAUACCGGUGGCGAAGGCGGCCCCCUGGACGAAGACUGACGCUCAGGUGCGAAAGCGUGGGGAGCAAACAGGAUUAGAUACCCUGGUAGUCCACGCCGUAAACGAUGUCGACUUGGAGGUUGUGCCCUUGAGGCGUGGCUUCCGGAGCUAACGCGUUAAGUCGACCGCCUGGGGAGUACGGCCGCAAGGUUAAAACUCAAAUGAAUUGACGGGGGCCCGCACAAGCGGUGGAGCAUGUGGUUUAAUUCGAUGCAACGCGAAGAACCUUACCUGGUCUUGACAUCCACAGAACUUUCCAGAGAUGGAUUGGUGCCUUCGGGAACUGUGAGACAGGUGCUGCAUGGCUGUCGUCAGCUCGUGUUGUGAAAUGUUGGGUUAAGUCCCGCAACGAGCGCAACCCUUAUCCUUUGUUGCCAGCGGUCCGGCCGGGAACUCAAAGGAGACUGCCAGUGAUAAACUGGAGGAAGGUGGGGAUGACGUCAAGUCAUCAUGGCCCUUACGACCAGGGCUACACACGUGCUACAAUGGCGCAUACAAAGAGAAGCGACCUCGCGAGAGCAAGCGGACCUCAUAAAGUGCGUCGUAGUCCGGAUUGGAGUCUGCAACUCGACUCCAUGAAGUCGGAAUCGCUAGUAAUCGUGGAUCAGAAUGCCACGGUGAAUACGUUCCCGGGCCUUGUACACACCGCCCGUCACACCAUGGGAGUGGGUUGCAAAAGAAGUAGGUAGCUUAACCUUCGGGAGGGCGCUUACCACUUUGUGAUUCAUGACUGGGGUGAAGUCGUAACAAGGUAACCGUAGGGGAACCUGCGGUUGGAUCACCUCCUUACCUUAAAGAAGC
rnacentral:rRNA from 1 species